rnacentral:tRNA from 1 species
GGAGAGGUGCUCGAGUGGUUGAAGAGGCACGCCUGGAAAGCGUGUAUACGCCAAAAGCGUAUCGGGGGUUCGAAUCCCCCUCCCUCCGCCA